rnacentral:rRNA from 1 species
GACGAACGCUGGCGGCGUGCUUAACACAUGCAAGUCGAACGCUGAACCCGCUUCGGUGGGGGAUGAGUGGCGAACGGGUGAGUAACACGUGGGCAACCUGCCCCCGGCUCUGGGAUAACUCCAAGAAAUUGGGGCUAAUACCGGAUGUGACCGCUGGCUGCAUGGUCUGGUGGUGGAAAGGGUUUCCGGCUGGGGAUGGGCCCGCGGCCUAUCAGCUUGUUGGUGGGGUAGUGGCCUACCAAGGCGACGACGGGUAGCCGGCCUGAGAGGGUGACCGGCCACACUGGGACUGAGACACGGCCCAGACUCCAACGGGAGGCAGCAGUGGGGAAUAUUGCGCAAUGGGCGGAAGCCUGACGCAGCGACGCCGCGUGGGGGAUGACGGCCUUCGGGUUGUAAACCUCUUUCAGCAGGGACGAAGCGCAAGUGACGGUACCUGCAGAAGAAGCACCGGCCAACUACGUG